UAUAUGACCUUGGACAAGUUACUUAACUAACCUCUUUGAACCUCAAUUUCCCCAUCUGUUAGGAAUAACAGCCCCUACCCUUAGAGGACUGUGGUGAGAAUUUAAAAGUACUCAGAAAGUGCCUAGCAUACAGUAAGCCCUCCUUAAAUGUUACUUGUUAUUUUCAAAGAAUGGGGAACCACAAACAUGAGAGGGUUUUCCUUUAAUUAUUCAUUUUUGUAUGGCUUUCACAUAGUAGGCACUUAAAGCUGGUUGAUUGUUGGAGGCUUUGCUGCCUUUCGGAGGGAUCAUUCUCGUCCAUAACGUUACUCUGUGAGCCGGAUGGGGGCGGAUGCUGGGUGUUCGCACCCGAGUUCCACGCGGUCCUAAAAAGGAUUCACAGCGGCCAGGGGAAGGCACAGCGAACGCUCUGUCGUCGCUACGGAAACCUCAAUCCCAGUCCUGGACUCCAGUUAGGAAAGGGCGGGGGUCUCAAAAGCCUGGUCUUCCCGAGGGCGGCUAGUCGCGUGGUCGCAAGGGCCGGGUCCCCAUGAGCCCUGAGGAGCUCCGGAUUUCAGACAGGCACUGCUCCCUCCGGCCACACGGUGGCGACGUUGAGCCAAGUUCUGCACCCUACCUGGGAAGUGCUGGGGAGGCAGCGCCCCGUCCGUUAGUCCUCCAGGGCCCUACUCUCCACUGGUGAUAGGACAAGUCACCGACUUACAGGCGGAGAAAGCUGCUGGACCUGAGUUCACCGCAAUACCUCCCACUGGGCCUUGAAAUCCCAAUUCUAGGUCGGACGUUCCCAGCUCACAUGACGCCCUCCACCCCGAAAACGCUCUUGGGGCAGCCCCGCCUCGCUGCCAGCCCCGCGCAGCGCACCUGGCGGGCACCCGGCCAGAUCCUGCUCAGACUCGGCCUCCGAGCCCGCUGCGCCAAGACCGAGCGUCACUUCUCACUCCAAAAUACACUGGCCCGGAGGAAAGAAGGUGGACGUGGGUUCUGCGGCCCUUACUGCCCUGACCUCGGAUCCUCUCCAUCCUCUGCUUCCGCCCGGGCCUGCAUCGCCUUCAAGCUUCUCUCAGCGCCGCCACCCACCUCCCCAACCCUCCGAAUAUAUGUCCCGGGAUCUGAAUAGGGCGGGCUCCACCCUGAGAACACUGCAAGGCCCUGUUGUCCUUCCAGAGCCCUCCCUCUUCAGUUUCAAGAUUGGGGGGAAGGGAAGUCUCCGGGGCCACAAGCCACAUCGAGAAAAAUCUCCAGGUUCCAGGACUUUCUCUUUCCCCUGCUCUCUUCGUGGCUCCAGCAAAUCUAACUCUCCUUAGCGGAGGUAUUAGGUUCCCACAGGAAGGAAGCAGGGAGCAACCUCAACUAGCUCCCUUCUGUUGCAGUCUUUGCAAAAGAGGACAUGUGCGGGGUGGGGGGUGUCUUUUGACGGCUGAAGACGGAGAGCAGCUAACCCCUCCCAACCGAGUAGCUGGCUGGAACUCAAACUGCACAGCGAUAGGACUGAAGUGAGGACAGUCGAAGUCUUUCGCUUUCUGCCAUGCUCUGUUCUGCUGUCGGGCCUGGAAACACACCGGGAACCCUACCUACCUGUUUUCCCCCUUAAAAUUUCUCCUCUUAUGUAAAAGUAAUUCAUGUGUCGUAUUUAAAAAAUUAAACCUUACAAAAAUAUAGAUUUAAAAAAUGAAAAA